CGGAGGGUGCAAGCGUUAUCCGGAUUCACUGGGUUUAAAGGGUGCGUAGGUGGGUUGAUAAGUCAGUGGUGAAAUCUCCAGGCUUAACUUGGAAACUGCCAUUGAUACUAUCAGUCUUGAAUACUGUGGAGAUGAGCGGAAUAUGUCAUGUAGCGGUGAAAUGCUUAGAUAUGACAUAGAACACCUAUUGCGAAGGCAGCUCGUUACACAAAUAUUGACACUGAGGCACGAAAGCGUGGGGGAUCAAACAGGAUUAGAUACCCUGGUAGUCCACGCCCUAAACGAUGGAUACUCGACAUUUGCGAUAAACUGCAAGUGUCUGAGCGAAAGCAUUAAGUAUCCCACCUGGGAAGUACGACGCAAGGUUG
rnacentral:rRNA from 1 species